GUUUCCACUGUUGCUCGGAGAACACACGCAGUGGGAUUCAGAAUUCCUAGAGAACUGCCUUUAUGAGAAGCUGGAAGUAUGUCUUUAAAUUCCAUCUCUUAGUUUUUCAAUUUGUUGCAUUUCAGAGAAACAUCAAGAAACC
rnacentral:other from 1 species